AGGUUGGGCCUCAGGCGGUGGACCAGAAGGAGCUUACUCGGGCCCUGACGUUGUCAGGAGGCCCUGGGGGAUCCUGCUGAAGCUGCGAUUUGGCGCAGAGCUGAGAUGUCUGAGCUCUAGACACAGGGACCUCAGUGUCAAAAGAUUUGGGAAGAUGAAUUGGGUCGGGGGGUCCCGGUCCAGGGUUCUGAUCAAGCAGGAAAGAAGAAAGCAAAAGAAACUGUGAGAAAACCAACCCAUGUGAACAUGAAUAGAGACAUAAAAAUGCCCCUAAGAAAGCAUAAUUUAGAACUUACAAUGUCGCCUCACUGUGUACCUUCUAAACUCUGCCUUGAUGAUACAGAAACCAAUGUAAACUGUCAAAGACUAAGUAGCAAGGAAGAUCUUGGCCCAGUCCAGUCACAAGGCAUGGACUCAUAUAGUAUGCUUCACCCUCAGUUCAGCAAAAUAGAGAACUGCAGUUUCACUCCAUCAUCUUUUUCAGUGGAGUUACCUUCUAACAGACAUAUUUCAAAACUAAAUUUCACAUCUGGAAUAGCACCUACUCCUCAGAAACUUGCAUAUGAAAAAAAGCAGAAUGACCAGCGCAGUACUGUUAACUGUUCUGAUUCCUUGCUUUCCAAAUUAAAUAAAAGUCAAGAUGUUUUCAGUCCAUCACAUAAAACUACACGAUUUGGGACAUUAUUUGAAAGAUUAAACAGUCUAGGAAAUAGGAAUUUACUUACUAAAAGCCCUGCUGUAAUUAUGGAUGAAGAUUGUAGAAGCACGGAUGAAAUAAGACAGUCAGACUACAUUACUGAAAAACACUCAAUACAGCAUAUUUGGGGGAAAAAUGGAAAGGAAGUUUCAAAUUUUCUUGAAGAUGUGAACCAGUCUACUCCUAACCUUCUAUCAGAGAAUUGUGACUCUUUUGUUAGUCAAAAUAUGAUCAAUGUAUUAAACAUAGAUGAGCAAAGGAUAAAGAAAACAUUUAACAAGUGUGAUUAUGAUAGUAUGGGAGAUACUUGUGUAGUCACUAGUUCUGAUAAAAACCAUGUCACUGACAGAUGCAUUAGAAACAUUUUUACAGUUCCAGAGUUGACUUUUAGUAAUUCGACUUUGAAUAAAACAAGUUAUCCAGAAAAAUGUCAGCCAAACAAGAAGUAUCAGAGAGAGUAUAACAAAAAUGAAAGAAAUGAUCUUAGUACAUCUUUUGAGAACGAUUACUACCCAAGCAGCUCUGAAAGAAAAGAAAAAUUUGAAAAUGAUUACCAAGAGAAGACACCACAGAAAAGUAUUCAGAAAUAUCCAGCAAACUCUAUCUGGUGUACAAAAUGUUCUGAGUUUAAGGUGAUUUUUACACUCAUCCAUUAUGUGUUGAUGUUAAAUUUAUUCCUUAAAAGUUUGAGAACUGCCUUCCAGGCUUUUCUGAAUAAUGACCUGCAAUUAUAAGUAACUAAAGAAAACUUUAUUUUAGCUAGUAGUUUCUAGCUAAAAUAGUCCUAACUUUCUUGGGGAAAUAUACCUUCGGAAGAAUUGCACUCUAAGCAGUCAUGGGACUUUGGACUUGAUGAGAUUCUGAUGGAAGAAGGAGGAAUAUAUUCUUUAAAAAGCAAGCGAAUAUCUACUAAGAAAAUCUCUCUUGAUUCUGCACAGAGUAGUCGGUCUACUAGUUACUCUCCAAGACCAACAGACAGCUGUUUCAGUUCUAGUUCAGAUUUGGACACAUGCCGUGGGUAUCCUGAGCUGCCAUUUAAGAAGUCUAGCUACCCUAAAGCCUCCAUGCUGGAGAGACCAUGUGGAGGGACCACACAAAGAUUGACAGUAAGAUGCUUGAGAAGUCCCAGCUUUCCCAGCCCCAGCGUUUUGGGUCUUCUCAGCCCAAGCACUAGAUGUGCAGCCCCAGCCCAUGCCUGGGAAAAACUUCCGCUAUUCCUUUGCUGACUGCAGGAAUGCUUGAGAUGCAUGGACCUAUUCAUUUUUAAAAAUUUAUUGAGCACAGGGUCCGGUUCCAAGAUGGUUGAAUAGGAACAGCUCCAGUCUACAGCUCCCAGCAUGAGCGACGCAGAAGAUGGGUGAUUUCUGCAUUUCCAACUGAGGAUUGGACAAUUAAAUGAGGAUUUUUCUGCCCACUGAUACUGACAUGUUCUGCACUAUUCAGGUGUCCGUUAUUCAGGUGCAAAGAAGACAAGAUAUAAAAUAAGGCCCAGAAGUGCAGUCCAGGAGUAUGGAGUAGGGCAGAAAUUGAAACUGAAACUGUGGAACGAGAAACCAUGGAUAAGGGAGGACUACAGUACAUCAAAUGGACCAAUCAUGGCUUUCUGCAGGUCCUCAUAUUAUGUAGCCUGUCAUUCAGGGAUAUGUGAUCUGAAUGACAAUAAGAAGCCAGACGUAUGUGAAGAUGGUGGAAGGACAUUCUAUGAGUAAACAGCAAGUGCAACGUAACGUUGAUUACAAUUCACCUACCCAUUACUUUGGAAAUAGAAUGAGGUGCAUCUCACCAACCAUCCUCCUGCAGAAAGCCCUCUGACCUGUGAAACAGGAAGCUGUAAAUGUCUGGAAAGUAUGUGGAUUGGACACAUGUCUUGGAUUAAAUUAUCUUACACGCCACUGGAAUGAACCUGCCUGAUUCUCCACUUUCUCUGCUUCAUUCUGAGCGUUCUUGCCUCCCCUGGGUACUGGAAAGAGAAUGGAGCCUUAGAAUCAAUGCUCCCAACCCACCCAUUCUUUUUCCCGGCACUUUCCACCUUUACAACUACGCCUCCAAAAGUUUCAGUCUAUUGCAGCUAUGGUGGGAGCCACAUAGGAACUUCUCAGGGAUGCAAAAUUCAUGAACCACAAUUCCCUGGCCAGAAGAACCACAUAGACUUAUCUAUUACCAGGAUCGGAGAGAGCGGGCCCCUUUCUUCCUAGAUUUCACUUUUUCUCUUAAUUUAUUCUGACAAUGAGGAGACAGAAAAAGCUGCAUGAUAGUGAUGUAGAGUCUAAUGGUGUAUCUCUGGAUACACAAAGAGCCAUCUCAGGUAACAACUUUAAUCCUUGAAAUGAGACUAUUAUCUUCCUGUUAAUUAUUCCAUUAUUUCCUAAUGUUUUUAAUAAUAAAACCCCCCAAACAAC